UCAUCAGGUGGUAUAAUCCUUACCUGUUCCUCCUUUUGGAGGGUAGAUUAGAGCAUGAUCAUUGGAGUUUGCAUGUUACGUGAUUAGCAUCUCUGUGUAAUCAGGAUUUGUAAUGACCUGAUUGUGCCAAUUGGAU
rnacentral:snoRNA from 1 species